rnacentral:rRNA from 1 species
GAUGAACGCUGGCGGCGUGCCUAAUACAUGCAAGUCGAGCGAACGGACGAGAAGCUUGCUUUUCUGAUGUUAGCGGCGGACGGGUGAGUAACACGUGGAUAACCUACCUAUAAGACUGGGAUAACUUCGGGAAACCGGAGCUAAUACCGGAUAAUAUUUUGAACCGCAUGGUUCAAAAGUGAAAGACGGUCUUUCUGUCACUUAUAGAUGGAUCCGCGCUGCAUUAGCUAGUUGGUAAGGUAACGGCUUACCAAGGCAACGAUGCAUAGCCGACCUGAGAGGGUGGUCGGCCACACUGGAACGGAGACACGGUCCAGACUCCUACGGGAGGCAGCAGUAGGGAAUCUUCCGCAAUGGGCGAAAGCCUGACGGAGCAACGCCGCGUGAGUGAUGAAGGUCUUCGGAUCGUAAAACUCUGUUAUUAGGGAAGAACAUAUGUGUAAGUAACUGUGCACAUCUUGACGGUACCUAAUCAGAAAGCCACGGCUAACUACGU